rnacentral:rRNA from 1 species
AGUGGAAUGGCUAUUGCACCACAUGUGUUUUUUAUUGAACAAAUUUCUUUGGUGGCGGGAGCAAUCCUACCGCCAGAGGUUAUAACUAAACCAAACUUUUUAUUUACAGUCAAACUUGAUUUAUUAUUACAAUAGUCAAAACUUUCAACAACGGAUCUCUUGGUUCUCGCAUCGAUGAAGAACGCAGCGAAAUGCGAUACGUAAUAUGAAUUGCAGAUAUUCGUGAAUCAUCGAAUCUUUGAACGCACAUUGCGCCCUUUGGUAUUCCAAAGGGCAUGCCUGUUUGAGCGUCAUUUCUCCCUCAAACCCCCGGGUUUGGUGUUGAGCAAUACGCUAGGUUUGUUUGAAAGAAUUUAACGUGGAAACUUAUUUUAAGCGACUUAGGUUUAUCCAAAAACGCUUAUUUUGCUAGUGGCCACCACAAUUUAUUUCAUAACUUUGACCUCAAAUCAGGUAGGACUACCCGCUGAACUUAAGCAUAUCAAAAGCCCGGAGGAA